UGUUGGAUAAGAGUUUUAGUGGUCUCAAAUAAGCCACUGACAUUCUUAUUAUCAUAUAGGAUUUUCUAUUUUUGAUUUUAGAAAUUGAUUCAUAAAUUAUUUGAUUAUCAUAUAGCAUUUUCUAUUUUUUUUUAUUUUUUUUAUAAAUAGGAUUUUCUAUUUUUGAUUUUAGAAAUUGAUUCAUAAAUUAUUUAAUUAAUUUCAGGAAUGAUUUUUUGGAAAUGAUUUAUGAAAUUAGUUAAUAGAUGGUGGGUGAUGAGGUGGAGUCGCGGUGUUCAUCUGCAUACGUUCAUGCGUAAUCUCCGUAUGCUCAUCUCGCCUCCCUAUCAUCAUUCAAUCUCCAUCCCUUCAUGCGUCGCCGUCGGUCCAUCUCCGUCAACCACCUGAUACUUAGGGGCUGCUACAAGGAUUGUGUUAGCUACUGUGUGAUAUAUACUCUUUUCUCCAUCCACGAAUAGUUUAGAGAUAUAUGAAUCUAGGGUAUGCACUUAUGUUGUUUUUCACAAGACCGUUUAUAUACUUUUUCGGAUUCAGUGGUAUGUUUUCUUUCCAGGUUGCAGCUUUUGGCCUUGCAAAAUUGAAAAUUGGAUGCUCUGCUCUUUGUGUUGUUGAAGGCCUCAGGUUCAUAAUAGACUCAUUUAUUAUGCUCUUUCAGAGUUAGUGAAGCUACUCAGAUCAAUUAAUAAGACCGAGCAAUUGUCUGAUGAACCAUAAGUAUUGGACUAAUGCAGUCCACAAACUUUCGUCUUCUAUUUCUAUUAGGACCCAGAACUCUCCAAGAUUACUAUCCAAUAGCAAACAUGUUAUUGAUGCUAGGAUCAUCAAAACGGGGUUUGACCCAAAUACGAGUCGCACUAAUUUUCAGAUGGAAAGUUUCAUAAAAACUGGCCAACUUAUUAAGGCACGUCAACUGUUUGAUGAAAUGCCUAACAGAAACAUUAUCUCCGUGAAUACCUUGAUUUCAGGUUAUGUGAAAACAGGGGAUCUUGUUACUGCAAAGCACUUCUUUGAUGGAAUGCCUUCCCGAACUACUGUGACGUGGACUAUUUUGAUUGGUGGCUAUGCUAAACAUGGUUACCCUUUGGAUGCCUUCAAGCUUUAUGCAGAUAUGUAUAGGUCUAUGAUUAUGCUGGAUUCUGUUACUUUUGCCACAUUAUUGUCGGGUUUCAACCACAAAAUCUGGAAAAAUCAAAUGAUUCAAGUUCAUACCCAUGUUGUGAAAUUGGGAUUCAGUUCGGCUUGUACUGUGUGCAAUACUUUGUUGGAUUGUUAUUGCAAAUGUCAUUGCUUAGACUUGGCUUUUAGGCUUUUUAAUGAAAUGCCGGAAAGAGAUUCUGUUACUUUCAAUGCAAUGAUUACUGGGUAUGCAAACGUUGAGCUGAAUGAGGAAGCUGUUGAUCUUUUCUUGACAAUGCAGAAAACGGGUUUCAAACCCUCUGGAUUCACCUUUGCUGCAGUUUUAAAUGCCACUGUUGGGUUGGGGAAUUUAUUUUUGGGUAAACAAGUUCAUGGCUUUGCAGUGAAGACCAACUUUAUUUGGAAUGUUUUCGUAGGCAAUGCUUUGCUUGAUUUUUAUUCGAAGCAUGGUCGUGUAGAGGAAGCCGAGAAACUUUUCCAUGAAAUGACAGAGGUUGAUGGUGUUUCAUGUAAUAUUAUCAUAUCUGGACACGCAAAGGAAGGGAACUAUGAGAAGUCUCUUACCCUUUUUCAGGAGUUGCAGGGCACAAAUUUUAACAGGAAAAAUUUUCCAUUUUCCACUAUGUUAAGUAUAGCAGCUUAUAUGCUUAAUUUGAAAAUGGGUAAACAAAUCCAUUCCCAGUGUAUUGUGACAUCAGCAUCGUCAGAACUUCAAGUAGGAAAUGCACUCUUAGACAUGUAUGCUAGAUGUGGACGGUUCGAGGAAGCCAAUCUAGUCUUCCAAUCUCUCUCACAUGCGGACGCUGUCCCAUGGACAGCAAUGAUCUCUGCUCUUGUACAAACGGGGUACCAUGAAAAAGGGCUUGAUAUAUUCAUCCAAAUGUGCAGGGAAAAUGUCAACCCUGAUCAAGCUACUUUUUCCAGCAUCCUAAGGGCUUCAGCUAGUUUAGCCUCACUCUCAUUGGGAAGACAGGUGCAUUCUUUGGUAUUUACGUCAGGAUUUGUUUCCAAUGUGUUUUGUGGAAGUGCAUUGCUAGAUAUGUAUGCAAAAUGUGGUUCUAUGAGAGAUGCUACUAAGGCUUUCCAGGAGAUGCCUGAUAGGAAUAUAGUGUCGUGGAAUGCCAUGAUCUCUGCCUACGCUCAGAAUGGCGAUGGCGAUGGUACCAUUGCAUUAUUUGAGGAAAUGGUUUCAACGGGUCUACGCCCAGACCCGAUAAGUUUCCUUAAUGUCCUCACUGCUUGUAGCCAUUGCGGGCUUGUUGAUCAAGGAACGAAAUACUUCAACAGUAUCACUGAAUUGUAUCAUAUGGAGCCUAGGAGAGAGCAUUAUGUUACUAUGGUUGAUAUCUUAUGCCGAAGUGGACGUUUUGGACAAGCAGAAAAAAUGAUGGCUGAAAUGCCCUUUAUCCCAGAUGAGAUUAUGCUUUCAUCCAUUCUAAACUCAUGUAGGAUUCAUAAGAACCAAGAACUGGCGAAAGAAGUUGCAGAACAGCUAUUCAACAUGAAAGUGAGAGAUGCCUCUGCUUAUGUAAACAUGUCGAAUAUCUAUGCGGCUGCUGGUCAGUGGGACAAAGUUGUUGUGGUGAAGAAAGCUAUGAGAGAACGAGGACUCAAAAAGCCACCCGCUUAUAGCUGGGUGGAAAUCAACCACAGGAUGCAUAUUUUCUCAGCAAAUGACAAGUCGCAUCCAAGAUGGGAAGACAUCGAGAAGAAAAUCGAGUCCCUAUCAACGAGAAUGGAGGAGGAAGGCUAUAAACCAGAUACUAGCUGUGCCCUUCAUGACUUGGAUGAAGAUACCAGAGCAGAAUAUCUGAAAUAUCAUAGUGAGCGCUUAGCUAUAGCAUUUGCAUUGAUCAGCACCUCUGAGGGUUCACCGAUCUUAGUGAUGAAGAAUCUAAGGGCUUGCUCUGAUUGCCAUGCUGCAAUCAAGAUCAUCUCGAACAUAGUUGGGAGACAGAUUACAGUGAGGGAUUCUAGUCGAUUCCAUCAUUUUAAAGAUGGGUAUUGUUCUUGUGGAGAUUAUUGGUGAUUAUUGUUUCAGGACUUAUUUGGCAGUUCAGUUCAGGAGCAUUCAGUUCAGUUCAGGAGCAUUAAGUUCAAUAAGUGCACAGGGGAGCAAGCAACACCAAUGAAAGUGGUGGCCGCAAGAUCAAUGAAACAAGCUCCUUUCCACAAGGUAAAUCAAAUGCAAAGGCUUAUGCCACGUCGCUUCUUCAUCCACCGUUGAUCUUGUGCCACCUCUCCCUCUUCAGUCUUCACCUCCACUGCUUCCCUUCCUCUUUGUUCUUUUGCGGGUUUCCCGGAGCUCCUGAUGAGUUGCUCCCUCUUUCUUCACCCUUUCUCUUUCCUCUGUGAAUGUCGAAUAUUAUUCUGUCUUCUACGGAUGUGAAGAUCAGCAAUUGAAGAAAAGAAUGUGCUAUGGAUUGUGAUUGCCGGAUUUUUCUCUCCUCCUCCAGCUUGCAAUCAACACUCUCACUUCGUCUUCUUCCUCCCUGGAGAUGAACAAUCUUGCAAUUCCAGAACCAAGGGCUUUUCCAUGUAUUGCUUUAGUCUUGAAGUGAAAGGCCAUUGGAUGUUACCCAUGCUCAUGCUUUUGUUCAGGCUCUGCUGGGAAUUUAUCAUUUGCUUCAUCCUCAAUAUCUGGCCUUGUAGGAUACGUCAAGGCUUGGGAACUGCCACUUGUAAAUCUGUAAUGCUGUUGUAUAUCAAGCUCCUACUUUUUCUUCAGCAAGCUGUUAUUCAGCUUCUGUGUGGCAUGACAACAGUAAAGACUGCAUUAUGCUAAAGAUAAUCCGUGUUCUUCCACCUGCUGUUCUCAGCAGUCAAGCAAAAGCCAUUUCUCCUACAUGGGAACUUGCAAUUGCAGAAAGGUCCUGGUGUUUUUACCCCAUAUCGGUGAGCUAGUUUGUUCAAAUUGACUUUGAAAGGGAGGCACCACUACUUGCAGGAGAUAUGAGGUUUCUAAUAAAUCCUUCCAUUUGACUCAGGUGCAUUGGAACCAUGUCGAUGAAAAUGGUACAUUUUUCACUUUCCUGAUUGGAGUCAGGAAUUCUUGAUUGUCUUAUCAAGGAUUAUAUGUUUCUGUAUGAGAAGCAUGGUUUGAUUCAGUGAGCAUACUAGAAUCUGAUGAUGAUUUUAUCAGUGUUUUCGGAG